UAGGGAAUCUUCCGCAAUGGGCGAAAGCCUGACGGAGCAACGUCGCGAGAGUGAUGAAGGUCUUCGGAUCGUAAAACUCUGUUAUUAGGGAAGAACAAAUGUGUAAGUAACUAUGCACGUCUUGACGGUACCUAAUCAGAAAGCCACGGCUAACUACGUGCCAGCAGCCGCGGUAAUACGUAGGUGGCAAGCGUUAUCCGGAAUUAUUGGGCGUAAAGCGCGCGUAGGCGGUUUUUUAAGUCUGAUGUGAAAGCCCACGGCUCAACCGUGGGGGGUCAUUGGAAACUGGAAAACUUGAGUGCAGAAGAGGAAAGUGGAAUUCCAUGUGUAGCGCUGAAAUGCGCAGAGAUAUGGAGGAACACCAGUGGCGACGGCGACUUUCUGGUCUGUAACUGACGCUAAUGUGCAAAAGCGUGGGGAUCAAACAGG
rnacentral:rRNA from 1 species